rnacentral:rRNA from 1 species
UACGUAGGGUGCGAGCGUUAAUCGGAAUUACUGGGCGUAAAGCGUGCGCAGGCGGUGCUGUAAGACCGAUGUGAAAUCCCCCGGGCUUAACCUGGGAACUGCAUUGGUGACUGCAGCGCUGGAGUAUGGCAGAGGGGGGUGGAAUUCCACGUGUAGCAGUGAAAUGCGUAGAGAUGUGGAGGAACACCGAUGGCGAAGGCAGCCCCCUGGGCCAAUACUGACGCUCAUGCACGAAAGCGUGGGGAGCAAACAGG